rnacentral:rRNA from 1 species
CUUCGGGAUAAGCCUGGGAAACUGGGUCUAAUACCGGAUAUGACCUCCUAUCGCAUGGUGGGUGGUGGAAAGAUUUAUCGGUGCAGGAUGGGCCCGCGGCCUAUCAGCUUGUUGGUGGGGUAAUGGCCUACCAAGGCGACGACGGGUAGCCGACCUGAGAGGGUGACCGGCCACACUGGGACUGAGACACGGCCCAGACUCCUACGGGAGGCAGCAGUGGGGAAUAUUGCACAAUGGGCGAAAGCCUGAUGCAGCGACGCCGCGUGAGGGACGACGGCCUUCGGGUUGUAAACCUCUUUCAGCAGGGACGAAGCGCAAGUGACGGUACCUGCAGAAGAAGCACCGGCUAACUACGUGCCAGCAGCCGCGGUAAUACGUAGGGUGCAAGCGUUGUCCGGAAUUACUGGGCGUAAAGAGUUCGUAGGCGGUUUGUCACGUCGUUUGUGAAAACUCACAGCUCAACUGUGAGCCUGCAGGCGAUACGGGCAGACUUGAGUACUGCAGGGGAGACUGGAAUUCCUGGUGUAGCGGUGAAAUGCGCAGAUAUCAGGAGGAACACCGGUGGCGAAGGCGGGUCUCUGGGCAGUAACUGACGCUGAGGAACGAAAGCGUGGGUAGCGAACAGGAUUAGAUACCCUGGUAGUCCACGCCGUAAACGGUGG